rnacentral:rRNA from 1 species
ACUGUUGCCUCGGCGGGGUCACGCCCCGGGUGCGUAAAAGCCCCGGAACCAGGCGCCCGCCGGAGGAACCAACCAAACUCUUUCUGUAGUCCCCUCGCGGACGUAUUUCUUACAGCUCUGAGCAAAAAUUCAAAAUGAAUCAAAACUUUCAACAACGGAUCUCUUGGUUCUGGCAUCGAUGAAGAACGCAGCGAAAUGCGAUAAGUAAUGUGAAUUGCAGAAUUCAGUGAAUCAUCGAAUCUUUGAACGCACAUUGCGCCCGCCAGUAUUCUGGCGGGCAUGCCUGUCCGAGCGUCAUUUCAACCCUCGAACCCCUCCGGGGGGUCGGCGUUGGGGAUCGGGACCCCUCACCGGGUGCCGGCCCUGAAAUACAGUGGCGGUCUCGCCGCAGCCUCUCCUGCGCAGUAGUUUGCACAACUCGCACCGGGAGCGCGGCGCGUCCACGUCCGUAAAACACCCAACUUCUGAAAUGUUGACCUCGGAUCAGGUAGGAAUACCCGCUGAACUUAAGCAUAUCAAUAAGCGGAGGGAAAA